AUGCUAUGAUGAUAUCUUUACUGUGUACCGUAGACUGAUCUCUAUUGGAUCCGUCGGUGACGGUAACACAUCCCUCUAAGAAGUUCUGAGCUG